rnacentral:rRNA from 1 species
AUUGAACGCUGGCGGCAGGCCUAACACAUGCAAGUCGAACGAGUGGCGGACGGGUGAGUAAUGUCUGGGAAACUGCCCGACGGCGGGGGAUAACUACUGGAAACGGUAGCUAAUAUCGCACACCAUCGGAUGUGCCCAGAUGGGAUUAGCUAGUAGGUGGGGUAACGGCUCACCUAGGCGACGAUCCCUAGCUGGUCUGAGAGGAGGACGAGCAACACUGGAACUGAGACAGGGUCCAGAGUCCUAGGGGAUGAAGCAGUGGGGAAUAUUGCAAAAUGGGCGAAAGCCGGAUGCAGCCAUGCCGGGGAUAUGAAGAGGGCCUUCGGGUUGAAAAGUACUUUCAGCGAGGAGGCGUUACUCGCAGAAGAAGCACCGGUUAACUCCGUGCGAGCAGCCGCGGUAAUA